GACGAACGCUGGCGGCGUGCUUAACACAUGCAAGUCGAACGGAAGGGCCCUGCUUUUGUGGGGUGCUCGAGUGGCGAACGGGUGAGUAACACGUGAGUAACCUGCCCUUGACUUUGGGAUAACUUCAGGAAACUGGGGCUAAUACCGGAUAGGAGCUCCUGCUGCAUGGUGGGGGUUGGAAAGUUUCGGCGGUUGGGGAUGGACUCGCGGCUUAUCAGCUUGUUGGUGGGGUAGUGGCUUACCAAGGCUUUGACGGGUAGCCGGCCUGAGAGGGUGACCGGCCACAUUGGGACUGAGAUACGGCCCAGACUCCUACGGGAGGCAGCAGUGGGGAAUAUUGCACAAUGGGCGGAAGCCUGAUGCAGCAACGCCGCGUGCGGGAUGACGGCCUUCGGGUUGUAAACCGAUUUCGCCUGUGACGAAGCGUGAGUGACGGUAAUGGGUAAAGAAGCACCGGCUAACUACGUG
rnacentral:rRNA from 1 species